UACGUAGGGUGCGAGCGUUGUCCGGAUUUAUUGGGCGUAAAGGGCGCGUAGGCGGCCACGCACGUCCGUUGUGAAAUCGCUCGGCUCAACUGGGCGGGGUCAGCGGAUACGGUGUGGCUAGAGCAAGCUAGGGGGCAAUGGAAUUCCCGGUGUAGUGGUGGAAUGCGUAGAUAUCGGGAGGAACACCAGUGGCGAAGGCGGUUGCCUGGAGCUUUGCUGACGCUGAUGCGCGAAAGCGUGGGGAGCGAUCCGG
rnacentral:rRNA from 1 species